rnacentral:rRNA from 1 species
GUGGGCAAUCUGCCCUGCACUCUGGGACAAGCCCUGGAAACGGGGUCUAAUACCGGAUACUGACCCCCGCAGGCAUCUGCGGGGUUCGAAAGCUCCGGCGGUGCAGGAUGAGCCCGCGGCCUAUCAGCUUGUUGGUGAGGUAACGGCUCACCAAGGCGACGACGGGUAGCCGGCCUGAGAGGGCGACCGGCCACACUGGGACUGAGACACGGCCCAGACUCCUACGGGAGGCAGCAGUGGGGAAUAUUGCACAAUGGGCGAAAGCCUGAUGCAGCGACGCCGCGUGAGGGAUGACGGCCUUCGGGUUGUAAACCUCUUUCAGCAGGGAAGAAGCGAAAGUGACGGUACCUGCAGAAGAAGCGCCGGCUAACUACGUGCCAGCAGCCGCGGUAAUACGUAGGGCGCGAGCGUUGUCCGGAAUUAUUGGGCGUAAAGAGCUCGUAGGCGGCUUGUCGCGUCGGUUGUGAAAGCCCGGGGCUUAACCCCGGGUCUGCAGUCGAUACGGGCAGGCUAGAGUUCGGUAGGGGAGAUCGGA